AGCAAGGGGGCAGGGCGGGGAGGAUGGAAAUUCCUGUCUCUUGAAGGAUACUCACACUGUUGACCCUGGUAACCCUUUGACCCUUAGGGUGAUGGUGAAAGGGGUGAAACCUGCCCUUUUAACUUUGUGCACUUCUUUAUCAUUAUAAUUUUUUAAAAAGUAAAAAGAUGGAAGGCAACAGAAACUAAAAGAAAAACCCAUCAUGGACACUGGCCAAUGUCAAGCGGUUGAGGGAUGGAUAGGCAGAGAAACAAAGACUUGUUGAAGACCUGCCGAGGCAAAUACAAAGGGAUGACUCACUCCCUUGGUGUUCUGGUGCAGCAGAUCAAGUUGUUAUGACCUGAGACCAGGGCUCAGCUUGGAAAUUUUCCAGAAAAGAUGAAGACUUGGGGUGAGAAGAGAAAGUAUAACCUUGCUGGCCUGAGGGUAAAACAUGUUGGAAAGAAGAAACCCAAACAAUGCACUUUGGCUGAACUUGUUCAGUCUAUACAGGAGCUAAAUAUUAGGUUAUCUUUUCAUUGUUUCAGGCAUUUUUUAUGUUCAAACCUUCUGUCCUCAGAAGAGUUGCCUGAAAUGAACGUGUACCUAAUAGAGGGGUUUUUUCUUUGUUUGUUUGUUUUACAGGUUUCAUGUCACUGUGCAUUCUAGGAAGAUAAUUUUAGGUUCAGAUUGUGCCAACAGAAAGACAAAUGGAACCAGUUGUGUAUUCUAAGUGAACAGGCUAUCACUCAUUCAGGAUGCAUGCAUUUGUUCUCUGAUGUGUACAGAUGAUCCUUGAGCAACAUGGAUUUGAACUGUGCGGGUCCACUUACAUGUGGAUUUUUUUCAAUAACAUUUACAUCUAAUGUGCCUGCCUCUUCUGCCUCUUCUUUCACUUCUUCCACCUAUUCUGCCUCUGCCACCCCUGACAGCAAGACCAGCCUUUCCCCAUGUUCCUAUUGAUUCCU
rnacentral:lncRNA from 1 species